GUAGUCGUGGCCGAGUGAUUAAGGCAAUGGACUAGAAAUCCAUUGGGGUUUCCCUGCGCAAGUUCAAAUCCUGCCGACUACG